UACCAGCACCCCGAGUGGUCGGGACGUUUAUUGGGCCUAAAGCAUCCGUAGCCGGUUCUACAAGUCUUCCGUUAAAUCCACCUGCUUAACAGAUGGGCUGCGGAGGAUACCGCAGAGCUAGGAGGCGGGAGAGGCAAACGGUACUCAGUGGGUAGGGGUAAAAUCCAUUGAUCUACUGAAGACCACCAGUGGCGAAGGCGGUUUGCCAGAACGCGCUCGACGGUGAGGAUGAAAGCUGGGGGAGCAAACCGG
rnacentral:rRNA from 1 species